rnacentral:tRNA from 2 species
GGUAAGAUGGCUGAAAUUAAAGGCGGUAGACUGUAAAUCUAUUUAUGAGAAUUUAUCUCUCUUAUCA